rnacentral:rRNA from 1 species
AUUGAACGCUGGCGGCAGGCCUAACACAUGCAAGUCGAACGAGUGGCGGACGGGUGAGUAAUGUCUGGGAAACUGCUCGAUGGAGGGGGAUACCUACUGGAAACGGUAGCUAAUACCGCAUACCAUCCGAUGUUCCCAGAUGGGAUUCGCUAGUAGGUGGGGUAACGGCUCACCUAGGCCACGAUCCCUAGCUGGUCUGAGAGGAUGACCAGCCACACUGGAACUGAGACACGGUCCAGACGCCUACGGGAGUGAGCGGUGGGGAAUAUUGCACAGUGGGCGCAAGCCUGAUGCAGCCAUGCCGCGUGUAUGAAGAAGGCCGUCGGGUUGUAAAGUACUUUCAGCGAGGAGGCGGUACUCGCAGAAGAAGCACCGGCUAACUCCGUGCCAGCAGCCGCGGGAAUUC